ensembl:lncRNA
AUGUUCUCCUGUCCUCUAUUCAGUUUUCCCCUUAGCACUUCUUAUUGUCUGAUAUCCACUAGUUACUUCAUGUCUUCUACCAGAUGUACCUUCCUUACCUACUGGCAAGGAAGACACUUCAUAUAUAGAAAACCCGCAGAUCUGCAUGUCCUGGCACUAGGUGCUGGCAUCCACUCACCAGGUCAGCUCAGCCGAUCCAAUCGCAGAAGGAACUCAAGUCUGCCGGUCACCUCACAUGGGGACAAGUCUAUGUGUGGACCAGCACAGUCGAGUCUUUCUCCUGGACAGAAACCUCAGACGUGCACCUCAUCACUACACACCAGAUGCCGCAUCUCAAUGCCUCUUUCAAUGAACAGCUCUCUCCUGAAAAUGGGACCGUAUCAUUUGCUAGCUCGCAUCCUAUCAGACUGGAAAGGACCCUAGAGAAGUGAGUGGGGACAUGGGACAGCCAGCAGGGGGUGGUGAGAAAGAGUCCCAGGCAACGGUACAAAAAUACUGGGCCUCAGAACACUGCCAAAAACAGGAAAGAAGAAACCAAGACACACUUUUUCCCCUCUAAAGAAUAUCAUUAUGUACAAACUUUAUGUACAUGCUUUCUCUGCUUUGACACAUUUGUGAGUCACUCUGUACAUUCGUCUGGGACAUAACUGGUUAAAGUUAGUGGUGACUUCAUUUCCCUGGGACGAGACAGUCACCAUUUAUUCUUCUGAUGGCUGGGAAAUGUUUGGGUCUGUUCUGAGGCUAGUCUGAGAAGACUUCCAGUUAGACACUAGCUGGGGGCAGAAAUAGUCCACAUCCAAUCACACGGCCCUGCCUGCCGUCUCUUCCUCCCUAUUCACACCCUCUGAAAGGCGGCUUUGUGGUUCCACCGAGUCCCCUAGGAGAGAUAACAAACACUCCACAGAGGAAGCUCUAGAAAGAGGACAUUUGGGAGUGUGCAGGCCAGUGCCUGCUGCUUUCUGAGCCGUUUUCACUGCGUGGCUGGGAUGAAGAGACCACCUAACAGCCUCAAUCAUGGCUUGGGGACAGAUGCAUCCAGUGAGGUGGGGCUUCUGGCUAGAGACAACAUGCAGUGCUGAUGCGGAAACAAACUGUAGCUCAGGGGAAUGAGAUGGGCAAAGGGAGGAUUCCGUUGGGUCUGCAAGCACCUUCUUCCUGUGCCAAACAGCUCUGACGUCUCAACGUUGCUUGGAGUUGCUCACAGAGGGUAAACUGAGAAGCAGCAAAACUGAGCACUUUGUUCUUUGUACUCCUCUGCUCCUGAGCAGCACUCAUCUCCCAAGAGCACGCCAGCUUGAAGGCCAAGCUGAUGAGAAGCAACCCCCCAGGCCAGUGGGGGCCUCAGAAUACCCAGGAGAGUGUAAGCCAGACGAGCAGUGGAAGUGGCAGCGUCCCCAAGCUGCCAGAGCUGAUUCAGCUUGCUUCUGGGCUCGCUUCUCACCUUGAGUGAGGCAAUACAAAAACCCGUUUUCCAUUUCGGAAUCCUGUCAACUGGAACAAAUCCACCAGUGGGAGCAUCUUCACAAGGGCAAUCUCUAACCUCUUUCCUACUCAAACAGAUAGUGCCCUUGAAUUAGCACUGCCCCACAUUUUCACCUUCUUCAUUCAUCUUUCCACCCAGCUUCAACAGACAACUGGCAAACUGACAGCAAAGUGAGACCCUCCCCGCCCUGAGGUCUCCAGGAGAAUGCUGCUAGCCAAGGAAAGAUCUGAUAACCGAAGAAGUAGUUCUUAACAGAGAAAAGUGACUCUGAACUAUGUUUCAGAAAUACAAAGAUCUAAGUGCUGACUCUGUGUAGAAAGGAAUAAAGAAAAAGUUCUUUUUCCUUCCUUCAAUAGAAGGAAGUCACUUGAGGAGAUCCAUGUGGAUUCAAAACAAAAGCAAAGCAAAAACAAAAAAGCAUCAACAAAUGCAUUCCAUAAUGAUAUCCACUUCUUAGCCCAUCUUGGCCUCCAGCCCAGCUGGUUUAGAACUUGCUGGGAAGACAUUCACAAAUCCAGUUAAGCUGCUCAAAGGGAAACUCCAGAUAUAACACCCAAUACACUAAUAAGAAAAUACUAGAGUGCCUCCGAAUAGAUUUUGCUCUAAGUCUGCAGCUCACGAAGUUUCAGAUUGGACAAUGUAAUCAUUUAAACUCAGAAGUACUCAUAUCUCUACAUUUUCUGAUACUCUAUGCACCCUUUAAAGCAGUUUUUCUCUGCACCUUUCAUUCUGUGGCCAUUGUCUAUCUCCUGCAAAAUAAUUCCUAAAUUUUUCAAUCUCUCGACAUAAAGCUUCCAAUUUGUGUGUUGACAGAAAACAAAGGAGGUAACAUUACAUCUUAGAAGAAUAUGUUACAUUUCAUCAUAGAAAUGUGGGUGAGCAAGGUCUAUAAGAUUGCUAAACCCAAGCCAACACUAGGGUCUACUGGUUAGCUGCAACAAGCUUAAAUGUUUUCAAAAAGGCCUUGGUUGGGCAAUCCUUGCGUAAAGCAAGCUUGUGAAUGAUCAUAUACCUAUAGCGAAAGCAACUGUUUGAGGCUACAAGAGACUGUGCAACUUCUCCAAAACGCUACUAUUCACCAACAGAAGAACUAGAAAUUUCAAGGCCAAAGAUAUCAAAAUGAAUUGUCCUCUCUGCUGUUAUGCCAGGAGGCUCCUUUACCCAGACAUUUGCCAGAAUCUUCUUAACGCUUCUUCUCUCCUCUGACAGGCCUGCAGAGGCCCAAACUUAAUAGAAUCUGAGAGAAAAGAGCCUAUCGGUCUAUAAGAAGCCAAAUAGUGAGGCCAAACUCUUUCUCCUGGCAUCAGUUCUCCUGCAGAGCUGUGAAGUGACGCUCAAUGAUGAAC